GAAUAUAAUGUCUAAACAAAAAAAAUAUCUUCCUCACACGAAAAAGAUCUUGAAUACAAACAGACAAGCCUAAACACAAGCCACACGACACACUCCCCAUCUCCUCGCCUUCGUCCUCCCUAACUUGUGAUUUUGUAUGCAUCAUCUUCCUUGUUCUUCCUCUCUCUCUCUUGUGAAAUAGUGGAAAGUUCCAAUGGCGGAUAUACUAAGCACUUUCCCUGACGAAGUUCUCUGUCACAUCCUCUCCUUUCUCCGAACCAAACACGCAGUUGCCACAAGCGUUCUCUCCAAGAGGUGGAACCAUCUAUGGCAUUCGGUUCCCGUUUUGGACUUCACCAACACCAUAUUAACAAACCAAAACGCCAAUUUCCGCUUUAACGAUUUCGUCUACUCCGUUUUACUCUCACGAAUUUCCGCACUUCCCAUUAAGGCUUUCAAAAUCUCUCUUACAUACGAUUACAUCGAAGACGUCAAUCUUCGCAUUCCCAAUUUUUCCAUGUGGAUCAACUUUUUGCUACAAGGCGGUGUUCAGCAUCUUGAUCUCUUUCUAGGUUUGCCGGGUGUCCGUAGUUUGCCUUAUACUCUUCUUACAUGCAAAACCCUUGUUUCUCUUAAUCUUCUUUUUUUCAGUAUAAACGUUACUCCUCCUUCUAUUCAACUUCCCUCCCUCAAAACCCUUUACUUACGAUAUACCUUUUUCCCAAGAGGUCAAGAUUUUAUGUUGCUCUUAGCUGGAUGUCCUAUUCUUGAGGAUUUAUUAGUAUCUAAACUAUGGUGGUUCCCUUAUAAGGACUCUCUAACCACUAACAGAUGGAAAAACUUUACCUUAACUAACUUGACCCAAGCAACUAUUGAUUCCACUUAUUUUCACUUUCCAUUGGAACCACUUCUUAAUGUUCACUCUCUUUCCAUUUCAAUGGCUAAGAUGGAUUCCUAUAAUCAUGUACUUCCUACCUUUCAUAAUUUGACCUCCCUAGACCUUAACUCCUUCAAUUACCGUUGGCAUUUCUUAAUUCAACUUCUCAAACACUCUCCUAACCUUCAAACACUUAAGCUCAAUGAGGCGGGCACAGAUGAGGAGUCAUGGACUAGAAAAGAUGACAAAGAAAAUUGGGUGGACCCUGAUUUUGUUCCGCAGUGCCUUUCAUUACACCUUAAAACUUGCCAUCUUUUGAGUUUCUUAGGUUUACAAGGUGAGUUUUUGCUAGCAAAGUAUAUUUUGAAGAAUUCAACGGUCUUACAAACAAUGAAAAUCUGGAAUGGUGGACAGCCUGAAAUAGAAAGACUAUUACAAUCAUGCCCAAGGGCUUCAUCAAUGUGUAAACUAACAGUUUAUCAUGUUUCAUCUCCUAGGUUGGAAUAUUUGGAAUCGUGACCUAUAAUAAUUAAGGCUUUGUGGCUCCUUUCAUUUUGAGCUCAUUAAUUGAUAGAACCCAGAAUUUCAAAGAAGAGAAUUUGUGUAUAUAUUGACUGAAAAUGGAGCACAAAGGCACUGCAAUGGAAAAUAACAGAAUUCAAGUGGUAACCUAGAGUCAAAUGUCUCUUGCUUCAAUAUUUAUGUCCUUGAACACAAUGGAAAAUAACAGAAUACAAGAGAUGAUGAUGGUGCAAGUGAGCUUAAUUUGCCUUUGGACACAAGCGGAUCAUGUGGGGGUGGUGGCAAUGAUUGACGCUUUUAGUUCCUUUAAGACUUAUUUUUAGUCUGUUUUGAAUUUUGAGUUGUAUUAUCACAUUUGAUAUUCAAACUCUAAAUGUUUGAAUUAUACUUUUGUUAUCAUGGUUAUAUGUUUCAUGAAAUAGUGUACUAUGGAAUUGUAUUUCCUGAUGAAGCGACUAUACCCAAUGUAAUUUCAGCUUGUGCUCAGUUUUAAAAGGAUUUUAUCUCA